UACUUUAAAAAAAAUAAAUUAAAAUACCUUAUUAUUUCUUAAAGUUCCUCCUUCCUUUCAUAUCGUUAUAAUUUAUUACAGACUACUUGCCAGGCGCGUGACAUUUUGCAUCUGUUACACAUGCCACAAGCAACAGCAGUUCAGACUAUCUUGAUAAUAUAUAAAAUCAAUGAUAAAACGAUUAUAUACCACUAAUACGUGAAUUAUGCUUAACUGUUUUCAUUUUUCAAGCUUUCCUUAAUUUAUUUUAUUAUACAACCACCUAAUACGUGUUUAUGAUAUAAAUAUAUUCAUAGUGAUUCAAACAUAAUAUGUUAACCCUUUAAUGUAAAUUUUUGUUAUUGUUAGCUCAAAACUAAAAUUAUAUAUUAAAAGUUUUGACAUGAUUUGUAAGGUUUUUAGAUUUCAACAAACGCUUUGUAGUAGCAAACAUUUUUACGAUAGGAUCAUUAAUUAAAGCAAAAUGAUCAUACAGUGGUGUCAAAAGUUCUCAAAGAUUCAUUACUGAAUUGACUUUUUAAAAAACGUUUCAAGUUAAUUAUAAAGUACAAUUUGCAGGUUGGGCAUAACUAUUAAUUUAUCAAUAUGACUUCCCACUUGCAUGCUAAUGAUCAGUCAUCUGAUUCCCUGAAACAAAUGCUAUUAUUUUUCAACCUAAGUAUACGAAAAUUAGCUAUUGUAGGUGUAUCAUUUCCGUUGGUUACUUUGUUUAUAUGCCUGGUCAGUGCUUAUAUUUUUCAGUAUGAUGAUGUACAUGAAACACAUUGCCAAGUUUUCAAUGUCAUUCCUUCAAUUAGUGCUAUAACUGGUAUAACACCUCAAACAUAUUUAUGGAGAAUAGCUGUAGCAUUUCAUGUAGGGCCACGCAUGGUAAUAGCUCAAGUGUAUUACAAUUAUUUUAUCAGUAAAAUUUCAAAAUCUGAUAAAGUAAUAAAUUUCAUAUUAAUCCAUGUGUGUUAUUGGCUUAAUAUGAUUGAAAUAGUUACUAUUUGUGGUGUAACAUACAUAUCAAAUAGAGAAAACUAUCCUAUACAUGAAAAAUUGUUUAUUUUAUUUAUGCUGAGCUCAUUGCUUUAUAUGAUAGUUAUGAUCAAAACUUUUGGAAUGGUACAUAAGAAUAUGACUGAUUUUCAGUUUAAAUCUUACAAAAUUAAAAAAAUACUUUUUGGUAUUUGUAUUGCAUCAACAAUUACAUUGAUACUAUUUUUCAUCAAGCACAGAUUUUAUUGUCAUGAUUUAGCAUUUACCUGGUUUGCACUAAGCGAAUAUAUAUUAGCUGUUUCUAACAUGGCCUUUCAUUUUACUAUAACACUGGAUUUUCCAAAUGAAAAGUUAAUUGUUGCUAAAGAUUUUCCACUAUUAAAGAUGAAUUAAUGAAGUUAUUAUUAACAAUCUAUCAUAUUUUAUUGAAUAAUAUUCUUCAUCUAGUCAUAAAAAAAAUAUUUAUCUUUAAUGUCAGCUAAGGAUCUAAAUAAAUAAUCCAAGGUUUUCUCUGGCUUUAGGACAGCCCUAUUUAUUAAUCAUAUGAUGGGAAUGAUACAAAUUGAAAAUGAGUCAUAUAAUUGAAAUUUAAUGUGUCAAUUUUGGUAACAUUUUUAAACAAACUUUGACUUAAAAAAAAAUGUGAUGUAUUUAUAAAAAGUAACAGUAACAAUCAAAAAUCAAUGUUUUAAAAAGUAUGAAUUGCAUUUUUGAACAAUGAGAUUUAAAUUGAGAUCAUUUUCUGGUUUCAUAAGAAAAUUAGUGAAAUAUUCUUAUUUUUAGACAUAUUCUAGAUCAAUUAUGAGAAAUAUUAAUAAUAUUACAGUAAUGAAAUGAGAAAAAUAUUCCCUAAAUAUAUAUAGUGUCUCAUAUUUAUUUAAUGACACUUUUAACUUUUGGUUCAAUCAUUAUUUUUAUAAUUAUUGCUUUAGACUAAGAAAAAAUAUACAGAUACAUAUUAUUAUUUUUUUUUAAUUUCAUUCAAUUGUUCUAAAAUUAUCAAUGACCCAUCAACAAUUUUCUUUAGAAAAAGAGACAAAAAAUGGCUAUUUUGAAAUUUUUAAAAAUAAUAAAGGUAUUGAUAUAUAUUUUUCCUAUAAGAAACAAAUAAUAAAAAAAUGCUUUUAAUGUAGUCUAAAACUCAAAAUUAUUUAAAAAUAAUAAUAAUGCAAAAUAUUUACUAAAUCAAAAGUUAUUAAACAUUUCAGACCAUGAUGGGACAUCCUGUUUAUAUUUAGUUAGUAAAAUUUUAUCCAAACAAAACAUGUCAAGUAUAUGUCACUGAUUAAGCAAAACUAAUUUUCUUCUACAAUAUUCCUUUCAAACAAAGAUUUUUUGGAAAUAAAACAAUGUAAUUACUAUAUUAUUUUAUAGAAUAAUAAUCAUGGUUAAUCUACAAUUUUAGAAAAAAUAAUAAUUUUCCAAAAAUCUAAUGUCUAGAUAUUUUUUCAGUUCUAUAUAAUAAAAUGUACUUAGUGUUAAAAAAUUAAUAAAACAGAUAAGUUAUUACAAACAAAAAGUUCAAUAAAAACCCUUUUUCUUAAUUAUUGAACACUAUAUAAUUUAAGAUAUAUACAUACAUAUGGGUGUUUCAGGCUUAACUGAUAAUUUUUAUACUUUUUGACACAUUUAUAAUUUUAUUGAAAUUUUUUUUUUCAACUAUUAUUGCUUUCUUAGACUACGCUUUAAGCAUAUUUUUAUUACUUACCACCAGUUUAUAAAUUAAAUUAAAAUAUACCUAACAUAAUUAAUAUACAAUUGUUUAAUUAUCUGUUAUCAAAAUUCUAGAUUUAAUUUAUUAUUUUCAAAAAUGUAUGGAUUAAAUAAUUUACCAAAGUCUAUUUAUUUCUAUUUUUAUGAGUAUUUUAAUAGAUAAUUUUAAUUUUAGUAAUAUAUUUAUAGAUAUAUCUUAAAAACGAGGAGAUUACUUUUUGAUUUUAAGAAACACCAUUUUCUUUUUUUAAAAAAAAAUACAUGGAUUACCUUAGUGGUCCCCUAAUUGAAUUUUAAUAAUAUUAUAAUCAGUUCAUACAAAUUUUAUUUUUAAAUAGUAUAGUUUAAAAAUGUUUGAUUUAUUAUGUUGUUUAUUUUAGAUAUAAUAUUAAUAUUAUAUUAAAAUUACUAAUUUUUGUGUAAAUAUUGUAUUUUCCUCUAGGUUUUUGUUAUAAUUUUAAUUAUUAAGUUGCUUCCAUGAACCUCAAAUACUUAUAAUAUUUAAAAGGACUCAUUAUUAUGUAAUGCGGGUGCUCUGUUCUGCAUCACUCACCUUUAAUUUGUGUCCACAUAUCAGGACAAAUCUGUGAUUACUUAGCUUCACACCAUAUAUCUAUAAGAUUAUUUUAUAAUAAAGCUUCUUCCGUAAUAAUAUUUAAAUUAUUAUAUUAUUAAAUAUUGUAAGUAUUUAAGGUAUAAUCUUUGAAUUUUAAACAUAAGUUUGAAUACUGUAAAUUUUGCUAGUCAUCUAGAUGAUACAUUCUAGUCAAUUAGUAAUUAAAUUACUAUAACUGUCAAUAUUAAUAUUAUAAUUGUAUUGAAAUUUAAAAUAAAAAUAAA